UAAACGGCGACGCAUCGAAGAGUUUAGUCGAACCGACUCUUGACAAAGAUACCCUACAACGGUAACACUUGCACCAAUUCAAAAAGAGCACUUACGAAAACUAGUUUGUCGCCAAACCCGACGACCCAGUUGAAUCCGAGGCCCCCUAGCUCACGAACGAAGAUUGAUAUAGAUGUUUGCUGCGAAAUCUUAGAACGAGAGAAGGUAAGAGGCGAAGAUGAGUUUCUGCUGUCGCUUGAACGAAGUUCAUGAACAUGUAUGAUAUACUAUUAACUGCUCUGUGUGGUUAAGAAAAACUAAGUGCUGGUAAGAUUGGACAAUUCAACGUCAGUCUGUGACUCAGUAUCCGAGUCAAUCUGAAUGGAGAAGUUGAAAUCUGUCAUUCCAGACAGUCUGAAGCUGAUGGUGGCAGGUCGCAGUUCUAAUGAUCUUCCUUCCAUUUCUUCUUCUUCACUUCUCAAAUUCUUUUGUUAUUUGCCCUAAUUCCACCAAAUGAUUAAAGACUUGCCAGAUCCUAAUAAUGCUCUCUGUGUGAAGAAUAAAAAUGCUGCUUUGGCAUCAAAGCAAAUGGGCAACCAGUGCUAUCAGUGGAGAUUACACCAAAGCUUUGUUACUCCCCAUGCACUGCACGUCUGCGCCUUGCUCCAAUAGAUGUUGUUAACAUGGGCAGAGAUCUGGUUGCAACUUGUUACAUGAAUUGGGCUUCUUUGUUUCAGAAAUAGGUCUUUUGCAGGAGUGUGUACGGGAUUUUAAUCGGGCUCAUCAAAUUUGUCCAAGGAGGAAUGACUGAUCAGAUGGCUUUGUCAUUUUCACUGUUGUAGAGGAUGAUGGUAACAAAUAAUUAUUGGAAAAACAGGCAGAAUGAUUCCACUGCACCCGAAAGCAAAGGCUUGUUUAUGAUUUUAGUGGGAUCAGACUCGGCAUGUAGGGUGGGCAUACAUUUUUGCUCUUGUUCUGGCUAUUAUUUUUGCUAGCAGAAUUAAAAGAAGUAGAAACUACAAUUCCUCUGGUGAAUAUAUACAACUAAAGGCCACAUGUUUACUCUUCUUAUUCCCAUUUUUAGUUAUUGAGAAACUAAAGCUGAAAUUCUUCGAAUUGCUCCUAAAUUAAGAUCUGAUUGACGAGGAUUUCUGCCAAGUGUUAUUCGUAAAUGUAGUUUUGAACCUAACACCGAUUUAAUUGACCAACAUUAUCUAAUUGAGAGUUAUUUGCAUCUCUUUCUCUUGCCUGCAUCUUUGUUGCGUGUGUGACAAAAUGAGGUGUUAACUUGGGGAUGGAGUUCAUUGUCUUCUUUAUUUCCUUUGUUUAGUCUUUCUGACGAAAUGAGGUGUUAACUUAGGGAUGGACUUCAUUGUACACCUUGAUCAUAGACCUUUUAUUACCAUCAGGAAGUGUUUUUUUUUUUUUUUAAAGCCGCAUAUAAGAAAGUUUGUUCAACGACACAAUUUGUGUGACACUGUUUGGAAGAGUUUUUCUGGUUCCCCAAAUUGUCAGAUGUGCUAUUUGGACAUUCGACAUUAGCUAUUGACGGCAGACAUUCUUUUUUUAGUUGCUGAAUGUGCAUGCAGUGGUAGUUGUUUUUUGGAGAUUACUCUCGUUUCUUGAAGGGGAAGUAUUAUUUAUUUAUUUAUAUAUCUGCUUUAAGAGAUUUCUUUCUUUGAUGUUAUUUAUGAUUAAAAAAUCCGUCUUUAAUGUUCAUCAAUCAACAUGAUGAUGAACAAUUGAGACCUGUAUAUAUGAUCUUAGGGGAUCUGCCAACAGUAUGUGUUUGUGGUUAGGCUCUAAAAUCUUUUUUGUCUUACCAUAAAUGAAUCGGAAUGCGAAAAACUUAUUCUUGAUUGGUGGUAGAUUUUUUCUUACUUGAUUAGGUUAAAAGAGCUUUCCAUGACAUCUUUUAUGGUCCAUUUUUUUUGGCAAUGAUGAUGACCUUCUUGUGGGUUCCAAAUAUUUAUGAACACAGUUUUGAAAUAAUCUGUUAUUUCAAACCUUGUUUUUCAUCAUGAAUAUUGAACAAUAUCCACUAUAUUGUUGAUGUUAUUUGUGUCUCAUUAAUGUAAGAACUAGUUUUAAGGUGUGUCAUAGUAGCUAAAGCUUGGAAAGUCAGGUUUGUGAUCCCAAUGGCUAACGUGCAAGGAUUAAGACCAUUGGUGACUUAGCACUUGGUAGGUUCUUUACUCACUAUGUAGCUCAU